GAACGCGUGGCGGCGUGCCUAACACAUGCAAGGUCGAGCGAUUACGUCGGUAAAGAGCGGCGGACGGGUGAGUAACGCGUGGGUAACCUGCCUCAUACACAUGGAUAACAUACCGAAAGGUAUGCUAAUACAGGAUAAUAUAAGAGAUUCACGAUGGAUUCUUAUCAAAGCUCCGGCGGUAUGAGAUGGGCCCGCGUCUGAUUAGCUAGUUGGUAAGGGUAAUGGCUUACCAAGGCGACGAUCAGUAGCCGACCUGAGAGGGUGAUCGGCCACAUUGGAACUGAGACACGGUCCAAACUCCUACGGGAGGCAGCAGUGGGGAAUAUUGCACAAUGGGCGAAAGCCUGAUGCAGCAACGCCGCGUGAGUGAUGAAGGCCUUCGGGUCGUAAAACUCUGUCCUCAAGGAAGAUAAUGACGGUACUUGAGGAGGAAGCCCCGGCUAACUACGUGCCAGCCGCCGC
rnacentral:rRNA from 1 species